rnacentral:rRNA from 1 species
UACGUAGGGGGCUAGCGUUGUCCGGAAUCAUUGGGCGUAAAGAGCGUGUAGGCGGCCAGGUAGGUCUGCUGUGAAAACUCGAGGCUUAACCUCGAGAUGUCGGCGGAAACCAUCUGGCUAGAGUCCGGAAGAGGAGAAUGGAAUUCCCGGUGUAGCGGUGAAAUGCGCAGAUAUCGGGAAGAACACCCGUGGCGAAGGCGGUUCUCUGGGACGGUACUGACGCUGAGACGCGAAAGCGUGGGGAGCGAACAGG